AAACUUUCAAUUAAACUCAAAAAAUCUUUUCCAAAAAAUACGCAACUUAAUUAUUAAAAUUUGCAAAUUCAGAAGUCUCUAAUACUAUAACGUGUUCAUAAUGGUUCUUCAAAAAUGAAUAUUUUUUGAGACUUAAAGGCUUUAGAAAUUAUCAAAAUGAAACCACGAGAACGCUUAGAAAAAGUUUAGAGAUUUUUUCCCUGUUCACUGGAGUUUGAUACAAGAAUGCCAUCUGAAGAAGAGUUUUUCCACGUUAACAUUGUGGACUACUUACAGCAUGGUGAAUUCUGUUUGUAAUGAGGAAAUAUAGUAAAUCUCUCCAGCAGUAUCCUAGACUUCAAUCAAUCAUCAAAGCAUUUGAUGUAGAUGUGAAAAAUAAGGCCCACAUUUUUACCAAAGAUUAAAUUGGAGAAUUUGUCAGGAAUGACACUCACUCUCUCAGGUCCAUAUUGGGUGUGCGGAAAGCCUUGGUUAUUAUUGCCUUUUUCGGAGAACACGGAGGUCAUGAGCUUGGUUCUGGAAAAAAAAUCAGUAUUGGACAAGAAGGAGUUUAUGUGGUUCAUGAAUGAGCCAAACAAAGAUCGGACCAACAAAGUUCCAGAUUUUUAGUACCUAAACCUAACUCAAGUUCAGAAAUUGACUGGGCGGCUAUUGUACAAACCUAUGUGGAACAAAUUGAACUGGAUUUGAAUAGAUUCACUGGCCGUGAUGUUUGGAAAGGAAAAGGAUCAAGUUUUGUGAUCCAGCCUCUUGGAAAAAACAUGAUAGCUGAGGUUCUACAUGAGGUUGCUAGAAAUCUUGGUAAACCAAACCAUGCAGAUUAUACUUUCCAAUCAUUGAGAAGGUGAUCAGCUACUGCUGCUGCAGACGAUGGAGCUCAACAAUUAAUCAGUUUCUAUGGCUGGAAAUCAGUUAAUAUGCCUCAAGAAUAUAUAUGAAAGAGUAAACGUGCAGUGAUGAAUAUGGCUUCUCUAUUAAGUAACCAAGCUGCAUCUACAGUUGAGAACUCUAUAAAUGUCGAGAUUGAAACUUCUGAAAUUACAGAGAAUCCUGCUGAUACUGAACUAGAGACAUCUCUUGAACCUAAACCAUCAGCUAGGGAAGAAUCCUGCUGAUACUGAACUAGAGACAUCUCUUGAACCUAAACCAUCAGCUA